CUUAUUAGAAGAGAGAACUGAGGAUCAGAGAAAUUCAAUGAUAUGCUUGUUGAUGAUGGGGCUGGGAUUAGAACCCACACCUUCUGGAAUUUCCACUGGCAUCUUCAAUUCCUAAAAAUUUUGUGUGCCUUUAAAUCUGUCCUGACUUUUCACUCAUUCUACAAUUAUGUAUUCAGCAUUCUCUCCUGUGUCUGGAAUUAUGUUCAGUGAGUCUGUACUCGUGGAGCUUAUCAUCUUGGAGGAAAACUGACACCAAACCACUCUUUACAAAAUGAAUUACAUCUGGAAUGAGUGCUACAAGGAAGUGGAGGGUAAAGAAACAUUUUGGAAAUAUCAGCUGUUUACCUGCUGCUCUGAUGAGAUUUUCCUCAUCAAGUCACUAAGACACACUUCUUUCCUCAUCUUACCUGAACUAUCUUCAACUUUAAAUGUUGCUAAGAAUUUCUUCUUCUUGAAACUCCCUCUGCCCUUGACACACACACCCCUUUAUUUGGUGCCAUUUUAUCUACCUUCCAAACCAUGUAAUACAUGAGUUUGGGGAUCCAGGCCAAGUUAGAGAGUUACUGCAGGGCAAGCUUGUGGCUGCAAACCUUGGAUAAGACAGGAACGCAAGCACAGCUUUGGGGGCUGAGUCUUCAAUAGAGUCAAAUGGAUGGUAGUAAAAGUUCCUGAGAACACACAAAAGGAGUCAUCGAGGAUGAAGACAUGGGAAGAACAAGUAAGCUGGAGAAACUCUUCUGCCAUUAUGGCUCCAAGAAAGAAUAAGAUGUGACAUGUUGUAAGUCCCCGCCAGUCAAAAAGCAGAAUGCUUCCAGUUAUAGGAGAGAAGGAGAUAGAAAAUAAAGGAUAAAAAGUUAGAAAGGAAUGUCCAGUCCUCUUCAGAACUGAAAUAAUCUACCAGAGCUUGAAUUGACACAUGGCAACAAUCAGAACUGAAUCUCCAGCUGGAAAAAGCCUUUAGCCCUCCCUGUUGUCAGGUGUCACUUGACUCAUUUUAGAUAUCUUGACCCAUGGGCGUUGGUGUUCACACCCCACUAUAGCCAAAUGUGUGUUAUCAUAUCCAAUGACGAAGAUUACACUGGUGAAUCAUAUUGUUUGGCUGAAGCGGCAAAAUCCCAGAAAUAUUCCAUCUCUGGAUGACAAACCACCAACUCUCCACUUCAAAAGGACCGAAGUCCUAGUAAGUGUACCAUCACCCUUAAAACAGAACUGUUUACUGACCAAGAGAGUAUUAUGUAAAUUAGACUGUAAAGUGCAGAGAGGUAUGCAUAUAUAAGGCAUUAUUACAGUGUUGUCAUUAACGAGCAUUCUGGAGUUUUGCCAAAGAAUCUCAACUAUUCAAUGAUGAUGACUUUGGUACAGCAAAUACAGCCCAGGAGACCCUAGAUUAGCUACAAGCCAUACUGGGAAAAGUGAAAAAGCCUAAAGACAUUCAUUUAAAAAUAACAUUUGAA